rnacentral:rRNA from 1 species
UCUUGACAUCCAGAGAACUUGGCAGAGAUGCCUUGGUGCCUUCGGGAACUCUGAGACAGGUGCUGCAUGGCUGUCGUCAGCUCGUGUUGUGAAAUGUUGGGUUAAGUCCCCGCAACGAGCGCAACCCCUAUCCUUUGUUGCCAGCGAUUCGGUCGGGAACUCAAAGGAGACUGCCGGUGAUAAACCGGAGGAAGGUGGGGAUGACGUCAAGUCAUCAUGGCCCUUACGAGUAGGGCUACACACGUGCUACAAUGGCGUAUACAAAGAGAAGCGACCUCGCGAGAGCAAGCGGACCUCAUAAAGUACGUCGUAGUCCGGAUUGGAGUCUGCAACUCGACUCCAUGAAGUCGGAAUCGCUAGUAAUCGUAGAUCAGAAUGCUACGGUCGAAUACGUUCCCGGGCCUUGUACACACCGCCCGUCACACCAUGGGAGUGGGUUGCAAAAGAAGUAGAUAGCUUAACCUUCGGGAGGGCGUUUACCACUUUGUGAUUCAUGACUGGGGUGAAGUCGUAACAAGGUAAGCGUACGUGU